ACGAACGCUGGCGGCGUGGAUAAGACAUGCAAGUCGAACGGGAGAAUUGCUAGCUUGCUAAUAAUUCUCUAGUGGCGCACGGGUGAGUAACACGUGAGUAACCUGCCUCUUAGUGGGGGAUAGCCCUGGGAAACCGGGAUUAAUACCGCAUACGAUUGAAAGAUCAAAGCAGCAAUGCGCUAGGAGAUGGGCUCGCGGCCUAUUAGUUAGUUGGUGAGGUAACGGCUCACCAAGGCGAUGACGGGUAGCCGGUCUGAGAGGAUGUCCGGCCACACUGGAACUGAGACACGGUCCAGACACCUACGGGUGGCAGCAGUCGAGAAUCAUUCACAAUGGGGGCAACCCUGAUGGUGCGACGCCGCGUGGGGGAAUGAAGGUCUUCGGAUUGUAAACCCCUGUCAUGUGGGAGCAAAUUAAAAAGAUAGUACCACAAGAGGAAGAGACGGCUAACUCUGUGCCAGCAGCCGCGGUAAUACAGAGGUCUCAAGCGUUGUUCGGAAUCACUGGGCGUAAAGCGUGCGUAGGCUGUUUCGUAAGUCGUGUGUGAAAGGCAGGGGCUCAACCCCUGGAUUGCACAUGAUACUGCGAGACUAGAGUAAUGGAGGGGGAACCGGAAUUCUCGGUGUAGCAGUGAAAUGCGUAGAUAUCGAGAGGAACACUCGUGGCGAAGGCGGGUUCCUGGACAUUAACUGACGCUGAGGCACGAAGGCCAGGGGAGCGAAAGGGAUUAGAUACCCCUGUAGUCCUGGCAGUAAACGGUGCACGCUUGGUGUGCGGGGAAUCGACCCCCUGUGUGCCGGAGCUAACGCGUUAAGCGUGCCGCCUGGGGAGUACGGUCGCAAGAUUAAAACUCAAAGAAAUUGACGGGGACCCGCACAAGCGGUGGAGUAUGUGGCUUAAUUCGAUGCAACGCGAAGAACCUUACCUGGGCUUGACAUGUAAUGAACAACAUGUGAAAGCAUGCGACUCUUCGGAGGCGUUACACAGGUGCUGCAUGGCCGUCGUCAGCUCGUGUCGUGAGAUGUUUGGUUAAGUCCAGCAACGAGCGCAACCCCUGUUGCCAGUUACCAGCACGUCAAGGUGGGGACUCUGGCGAGACUGCCCAGAUCAACUGGGAGGAAGGUGGGGACGACGUCAGGUCAGUAUGGCCCUUAUGCCCAGGGCUGCACACGUACUACAAUGCCCAGUACAGAGGGGGCCGAAGCCGCGAGGCGGAGGAAAUCCUGAAAACUGGGCCCAGUUCGGACUGUAGGCUGCAACCCGCCUACACGAAGCCGGAAUCGCUAGUAAUGGCGCAUCAGCUACGGCGCCGUGAAUACGUUCCCGGGUCUUGUACACACCGCCCGUCACAUCAUGGAAGCCGGUCGCACCCGAAGUAUCUGAAGCCAACCGCAAGGAGGCAGGGUCCUAAGGUGAGACUGGUAACUGGGAUG
rnacentral:rRNA from 1 species